CGAAGAAAUUUGGAUUAAUUACCCCAUAAUAUUAUUGGAUGGCAUCAUUUGAUAAUUAAAGCUACGACGGUGAAAGAUGGGCAUGCGUCCUAUUAGCUAGUUGGAGUGGUAACGGCACCCCAAGGCUACGAUAGGUAGGGGUCCUGAGAGGGAGAUCCCCCACACUGGUACUGAGACAGGGACCAGACUUCUACGGGAGGCAGCAGUGAGGAAUAUUGGUCAAUGGUCGGAAGACUGAACCAGCCAUGCCGCGUGCAGGAAGAAUGCCUUAUGGGUUGUAAACUGCUUUUAUAUGGGAAGAAUAAGGCGUACGUGUACGUUGAUGACGUACCAUAUGAAUAA
rnacentral:rRNA from 1 species